CCAACGUGGACACCCCAUGAGGCAUAGGGGAGCACAGGGCCCUGUCCGAUGAUGUACAGUCCCUUCCCAAGCCGCUGGAGAGGAAGCUGGGCCUUGAGUCUGCACUUGCAUAUUCCUACAGCUUCUCAGAGUCCUGUGGAUAAAGACUGGGCAGACAAACCAUGCAGGAAACAGCU
ensembl:snoRNA SNORA73 Small nucleolar RNA SNORA73 family